rnacentral:lncRNA from 1 species
GGGGUCCAAAGAAAGAAGUUGAGGUAAGCUUUUUUCCUUUUUGUGGUGAUGGUGGCAAGGGUAAUGUAGCAUGUAGAUAAUAGGAAAUAGAUGGGUAUAGGCGAGGGAGUAUGGUGACAGAAAGUAAAAAAAGCUAAACUGAGGUGGUGAUAGAGGCAGAAAUGGUGUACCAAAAAAACUUACCGACUAGGUCCUCUUAUCAAAUUAGGUUAGAGACUUUGAUGCAUUGGGUUGAUUUUAAAGUAUAUCUAAGGGUCAAGAACUAAGGUGGGUAGAAAAUACUAUGGUGAUGCUAUUUUCAAUUCCUUCACUCUUUUAUAGAAUAGAUAGAUGUACACAACUUUAUCAUGCAAAUUUACCCUCUAUUGUGUUUGUAUUUUGUUUCUUCUUCUUUUAUGUAACUUUCAAUCUUUUAUUCAUUUUCUUUUUUGUUUUGGACUUUGCUACUUCAACAAUCUGUUGGCAUCAUUUUUGUUUAGCCUAUAGGAGGCCCGCCCAAACAAGGAGAUGUAGGGGUGUGAUUCCCCCUAACACCGCUCCACCGUAGAGGCAGAGUUCACCGAGAUGAUUAGCAAUAGGCUCCCAAAGCUAAGAGCUUGGUCAUGAAGGAAUAUGACACUGACGAAGAAGUCCUAACUAGAGAAGAAAACACCACGCUCAUAGGCAGUGCCUCUAGCUUAGACAUUGGUAGUGACAUGUGCCAAUGAAGAUUGAUAAACACACAUGAUGCACUCCUACCUGGCGUGCCAAAUGUGGUGGGUUUGU